rnacentral:rRNA from 1 species
UACGAAGGGGGCUAGCGUUGCUCGGAAUGACUGGGCGUAAAGGGCGCGUAGGCGGAUGGCACAGUCAGAUGUGAAAUUCCCGGGCUUAACCUGGGGGCUGCAUUUGAUACGUGUUGUCUAGAGUGAGGAAGAGGGUUGUGGAAUUCCCAGUGUAGAGGUGAAAUUCGUAGAUAUUGGGAAGAACACCGGUGGCGAAGGCGGCAACCUGGUCCUUGACUGACGCUGAGGCGCGAAAGCAUGGGGAGCGAACAGG